rnacentral:rRNA from 1 species
GAUGAACGCUGGCGGCGUGCCUAAUACAUGCAAGUCGAGCGAACAGAUAAGGAGCUUGCUCCUUUGACGUUAGCGGCGGACGGGUGAGUAACACGUGGGUAACCUACCUAUAAGACUGGGAUAACUUCGGGAAACCGGAGCUAAUACCGGAUAAUAUUUCGAACCGCAUGGUUCGAUAGUGAAAGAUGGUUUUGCUAUCACUUAUAGAUGGACCCGCGCCGUAUUAGCUAGUUGGUAAGGUAACGGCUUACCAAGGCGACGAUACGUAGCCGACCUGAGAGGGUGAUCGGCCACACUGGAACUGAGACACGGUCCAGACUCCUACGGGAGGCAGCAGUAGGGAAUCUUCCGCAAUGGGCGAAAGCCUGACGGAGCAACGCCGCGUGAGUGAUGAAGGUCUUCGGAUCGUAAAACUCUGUUAUUAGGGAAGAACAUACGUGUAAGUAACUGUGUACGUCUUGACGGUACCUAAUCAGAAAGCCACGGCUAACUACGUG